GUGAGGAAUAUUGCGCAAUGGAGGCAACUCUGACGCAGCCAUGCCGCGUGCAGGAAGAAGGCGCUACGCGUUGUAAACUGCUUUUAACCGGGAAGAAACCCCAGGACGUGUCCUGGGUUGACGGUACCGGAGGAAUAAGCACCGGCUAACUUCGUGCCAGCAGCUGCGGUAAUACGAAGGGUGCAAGCGUUAUCCGGAUUCAUUGGGUUUAAAGGGUGCGUAGGCGGAGCGUUAAGUCAGUGGUGAAAUCCUGCAGCUUAACUGUAGACUUGCCAUUGAUACUGGCGCUCUUGAGUGCGCUUGAAGUGGGCGGAAUGUGCCGUGUAGCGGUGAAAUGCUUAGAUAUGGCACAGAACACCAAUUGCGAAGGCAGCUCACUAAGGCGAUACUGACGCUGAGGCACGAAAGCGUGGGGAUCGAACAGGAUUAGAUACCCUGGUAGUCC
rnacentral:rRNA from 1 species